rnacentral:tRNA from 1 species
UCCGCCAUAGCUCAGUUGGUAGUAGCGCAUGACUGUUAAUCAUGAUGUCGUAGGUUCGAGUCCCACUGGCGGAG